rnacentral:rRNA from 1 species
GAUGAACGCUGGCGGCGUGCCUAAUACAUGCAAGUCGAGCGAACAGACGAGGAGCUUGCUCCUCUGACGUUAGCGGCGGACGGGUGAGUAACACGUGGAUAACCUACCUAUAAGACUGGGAUAACUUCGGGAAACCGGAGCUAAUACCGGAUAAUAUAUUGAACCGCAUGGUUCAAUAGUGAAAGACGGUUUUGCUGUCACUUAUAGAUGGAUCCGCGCCGCAUUAGCUAGUUGGUAAGGUAACGGCUUACCAAGGCGACGAUGCGUAGCCGACCUGAGAGGGUGAUCGGCCACACUGGAACUGAGACACGGUCCAGACUCCUACGGGAGGCAGCAGUAGGGAAUCUUCCGCAAUGGGCGAAAGCCUGACGGAGCAACGCCGCGUGAUUGAUGAAGGUCUUCGGAUCGUAAAACUCUGUUAUUAGGGAAGAACAAAUGUGUAAGUAACUAUGCACGUCUUGACGGUAACUAAUCAGAAAGCCACGGCUAACUACGUG